rnacentral:sRNA from 1 species
AACCGUACAGCGAUCGGGCUGUACGAAGGGCUGAUUGGAGCCGAAGUA